rnacentral:rRNA from 1 species
UACGGGGGGAGCAAGCGUUGUUCGGAUUUACUGGGCGUAAAGGGCGCGUAGGCGGCCAGCACAAGUCAGUUGUGAAAUCUCCGGGCUUAACUCGGAAAGGUCAACUGAUACUGUGCGGCUAGAGUGCAGAAGGGGCAACUGGAAUUCUCGGUGUAGCGGUGAAAUGCGUAGAUAUCGAGAGGAACACCUGCGGCGAAGGCGGGUUGCUGGGCUGACACUGACGCUGAUGCGCGAAAAGCGUGGGGAGCAAACAGG